rnacentral:rRNA from 1 species
CCUACGGGUGGCAGCAGUGAGGAAUAUUGGUCAAUGGCCGGAAGGCUGAACCAGCCAUGCCGCGUGAAGGUCAGUGCCCUAUGGGCGUUAAACUUCUUUUGUGCGGGAGCAAUACUGGUCACGUGUGGCCAGACGAGAGUACCGUACGAAUAAGCAUCGGCUAACUCCGUGCAAGCAGCCGCGGUAAUACGGGGGAUGCAAGCGUUAUCCGGAUGUAUGGGGUUUAAAGGGUGGGUAGGCUGUGAUGUAAGGCAGCGGUGAAAUGCCACCGCUCAACGGGGUGAAGUGCCAUUGAUACUGUCUUGCUGGAAUGCUGAUGCCGUGGGAGGAAUGUAUGGUGUAGCGGUGACAU